UCUCGCCGGAGUUCGAGCCGCCGCCGCCAUCGCUGAGCUUCGGAGGCCACUAGAACGCCGAGGAAACAUCGCCGGAGCUUCACGGACAUCCACCUCCUCCAUCCGAUCGCUGACGCUGUCCGAGGAAGAAAACACUGCCGCCGGUCACACGAACGAUCACGCCAUCAACUGCAGCAUCACGUGCACGUCCUCGCCGAGAUUGGAGACCAGCGAAUAGACGCCAACAUCCACGCUCGACUCGCCACUUCACCAUCGUCGACCAGGUCCGGCCUCUAUCGUGCGGUGUGUAACGUCUGUUCUUGCAAAGAGAGUGCGAACGACAACGACAAAUAAGGCAA